rnacentral:tRNA from 1 species
GGCCCCAUCAUCUAGUGGUUAGGAUACCGGGCUUUCAUCCCGGACACACGGGUUCGAAUCCCGUUGGGGUCA